rnacentral:lncRNA from 13 species
CGCACGUACCCACUCCUGACCAACUUCCUUCUGAGGUGUCAGAAGCGCAAGGAGCUUUAUGUUCCUCAGGGCAGCAGGAAGGUCGUGUCAACUUGGUGUCGUUUAUUGGAAGGAACGCCAGUAGCUCCUGAUGGCAGAUGGGAAAAGAAGAGGUGACUCUGCCAUCUGCUGCUUACUGAUGGAUCUUGCUUGGUUACCCUGGCUAGAAUGCAGUGCCACAAUCGCAGCUCACUGCAGCCUCGACCUCCCAGGUUCAAGUGAUCCUCCCACCUCAGCCUCCU